CGGCGCUGGCGCCUCAUCCUCUGC
rnacentral:siRNA from 1 species